rnacentral:rRNA from 1 species
AUUGAACGCUGGCGGCAUGCCUUACACAUGCAAGUCGAACGGCAGCACGGGUGCUUGCACCUGGUGGCGAGUGGCGAACGGGUGAGUAAUACAUCGGAACAUGUCCUGUAGUGGGGGAUAGCCCGGCGAAAGCCGGAUUAAUACCGCAUACGAUCUACGGAUGAAAGCGGGGGACCUUCGGGCCUCGCGCUAUAGGGUUGGCCGAUGGCUGAUUAGCUAGUUGGUGGGGUAAAGGCCUACCAAGGCGACGAUCAGUAGCUGGUCUGAGGGGACGACCAGCCACACUGGGACUGAGACACGGCCCAGACUCCUACGGGAGGCAGCAGUGGGGAAUUUUGGACAAUGGGCGAAAGCCUGAUCCAGCAAUGCCGCGUGUGUGAAGAAGGCCUUCGGGUUGUAAAGCACUUUUGUCCGGAAAGAAAUCCUUGGCCCUAAUACGGUCGGGGGAUGACGGUACCGGAAGAAUAAGCACCGGUUAACUACGUG